rnacentral:rRNA from 1 species
CAAGUCGAACGAUACAGUGGCAGACGGGUGAGUAACGCGUGGGAACGUACCUUUCACUACGGAAUAGCUCCGGGAAACUGGUGGUAAUACCGUAUACGCCCUCAGGGGGAAAGAUUUAUCGGUGAAAGAUCGGCCCGCGUUGGAUUAGCUAGUUGGUGAGGUAAUGGCUCACAAAGGCGACGAUCCAUAGCUGGUCUGAGAGGAUGAUCAGCCACAUUGGGACUGAGACACGGCCCAAACUCCUACGGGAGGCAGCAGUGGGGAAUCUUGCACAAUGGGCGAAAGCCUGAUGCAGCCAUGCCGCGUGAAUGAUGAAGGCCUUAGGGUUGUAAAAUUCUUUCGUCAGGGAUGAUAAUGACCGUACCUGAAGAAGAAGCCCCGGCUAACUUCGUGCCAGCAGCCGCGGUAAUACGAAGGGGGCUAGCGUUGUUCGGAAUUACUGGGCGUAAAGCGCACGUAGGCGGAUUUUUAAGUCAGGUGUGAAAUCCCGGGGCUCAACCUCGGAACUGCAUUUGAAACUGGAAGUCUUGAGACCAGGAGAGGUUAGCGGAAUACCGAGUGUAGAGGUGAAAUUCGUAGAUAUUCGGUGGAACACCAGUGGCGAAGGCGGCUAACUGGACUGGUACUGACGCUGAGGUGCGAAAGUGUGGGGAGCAAACAGGAUUAGAUACCCUGGUAGUCCACACCGUAAACGAUGAGAGCUAGUUGUUGGCAGGCAUGCCUGUCAGUGACGCAGCUAACGCAUUAAGCUCUCCGCCUGGGGAGUACGGCCGCAAGGUUAAAACUCAAAGAAAUUGACGG